AUUGAACGCUGGCGGCAUGCCUUACACAUGCAAGUCGAACGGCAGCACAGGUGCUUGCACCUGGUGGCGAGCGGCGAACGGGUGAGUAAUACAUCGGAACAUGUCCUGUAGUGGGGGAUAGCCCGGCGAAAGCCGGAUUAAUACCGCAUACGAUCUACGGAUGACAGCGGGGGACCUUCGGGCCUCGCGCUAUAGGGUUGGCCGAUGGCUGAUUAGCUAGUUGGUGGGGUAAAGGCCUACCAAGGCGACGAUCAGUAGCUGGUCUGAGAGGACGACCAGCCACACUGGGACUGAGACACGGCCCAGACUCCUACGGGAGGCAGCAGUGGGGAAUUUUGGACAAUGGGCGAAAGCCUGAUCCAGCAAUGCCGCGUGUGUGAAGAAGGCCUUCGGGUUGUAAAGCACUUUUGUCCGGAAAGAAAUCCUUGGCCCUAAUACGGUCGGGGGAUGACGGUACCGGAAGAAUAAGCACCGGCUAACUACGUG
rnacentral:rRNA from 1 species